CUUUUUGUAGAACGGGCCAACGAGUUACGUUAAGUAGCAAGGUUAAGCACUUAAGGUGCGGAGCCGUAGCGAAAGCGAGUUUUAACUGAGCGUUCAGUUAUUUGACGUAGACCCGAAACCGGGCGACCUACCCAUGAGCAGGAUGAAGCGAAAGUAAAAUUUCGUGGAGGUCCGAACCCACGAGCGUUGAAAAGCUCGGGGAUGACUUGUGGGUAGCGGUGAAAUUCCAAUCGAGCCCGGAGAUAGCUGGUUCUCCCCGAAAUAGCUUUAGGGCUAGCCUCAAGGUGAGAGAUACGGAGGUAGAGCACUGAAUGUCCUAGGGGG
rnacentral:rRNA from 1 species